UGCGUAGGUGGUGAGGUAAGUCGGAUGUGAAAGCUCCGAGCUCAACUCGGAAAUGGCAUUGGAAACUACCUUGCUAGAGGGUUUGAGGGGGGACUGGAAUACUUGGUGUAGCAGUGAAAUGCGUAGAUAUCAAGUGGAACACCAGUGGCGAAGGCGAGUCCCUGGAAAACUCCUGACACUGAGGCACGAAAGCUAGGGGAGGCAAACA
rnacentral:rRNA from 1 species